rnacentral:rRNA from 1 species
UACGUAGGGUCCGAGCGUUGUCCGGAAUUAUUGGGCGUAAAGAGCGUGUAGGCGGUCCGGUAAGUCAGCUGUGAAAGUCAAGGGCUCAACCCUUGAAAGCCGGUUGAUACUGUCGGGCUAGAGUCCGGAAGAGGCGAGUGGAAUUCCCGGUGUAGCGGUGAAAAUGCGCAGAUAUCGGGGAGGAACACCAAUGGCGAAGGCAGCUCGCUGGGACGGUACUGACGCUGAGACGCGAAAGCGUGGGGAGCAAACAGG